UACGAAGGGUGCAAGCGUUAAUCGGAAUUACUGGGCUUAAAGGGCGCGUAGGCGGGCUAUCAAGUCUGGGGUGAAAUCCCGCGGCUCAACCGUGGAACUGCCUUAGAUACUGACGGCCUUGAGGAAGGUAGGGGCAUGCGGAACUGUAGGUGGAGCGGUGAAAUGCGUUGAUAUCUACAGGAACUCCGGUGGCGAAAGCGGCGUGCUGGACCUUUUCUGACGCUGAGGCGCGAAAGCUAGGGGAGCAAACGGG
rnacentral:rRNA from 1 species